rnacentral:rRNA from 1 species
UACGAAGGGGGCUAGCGUUGCUCGGAAUCACUGGGCGUAAAGCGCACGUAGGCGGCUUUUUAAGUCAGGGGUGAAAUCCUGGAGCUCAACUCCAGAACUGCCUUUGAUACUGGAAAGCUCGAGUCCGGAAGAGGUGAGUGGAACUGCGAGUGUAGAGGUGAAAUUCGUAGAUAUUCGCAAGAACACCAGUGGCGAAGGCGGCUCACUGGUCCGGUACUGACGCUGAGGUGCGAAAGCGUGGGGAGCAAACAGG